AUUAAAAUGGCAGAUAAUAUGCAUUAGAUUUAAAACCUAAAGAUGAGUAAUACUCUUUUAAUA
rnacentral:tRNA from 9 species